rnacentral:misc_RNA from 1 species
CCGAGUUUUCAACUCCCAAACCCCUGUGAACAUACCUCGACGUUGCUUCGGCGGGACCGCCCCGGCCCACGCGGACCGGAACCAGGCGCCCGCCGGAGGACCACAAACUCUUGUUUCCUAAUAGCGGCAAUACUCUGAGUCUCAAAACAAAAUAAAUCA